UUAAAACACAAAUUCUCUUAUUGCUUAUCGAGGAUAAUUUUCUUAGAUUUGUUCCUCAUUUCAUAAAAGAUAGUUCUCCUGAACCAGAAAGACAAUAUCAAAAAUCCUAAACAUUGUCAUCUACAUUAACCUUUGGUGGUUAAAUUGCUUAUUUUGUCUCAUUCAGUUCACUAUAACAUUAUAACUGCAGGUUCCAAACCAUAUUUUGUAUCAUUACACAUUGUGUGUGCUACUGGUUUCUGAUACAGAGCUGUAGUCGUGUUGCAGGAUCAGUUUCCCAGCAGCUUUAUCCUAAUGAACAGUGCAUACAUUGUUGCAUAAUGUCCACAGCAGGUUUGAUCGCGGUCAUUGUGAAAAAUGUAAAAUCACAAUAAACAGGGUGCAAGUUUCCCAAAAUUGGCAUCAUAGAAAACAAGCAGAUUAUUUUUCUGGCUUGCCGAGUGGCGUAGCAGGGGUCACUCCUGAAAUUCUUAAAUUAACACUUGCUCUGAGUGGGAACAAUGACUCACUGUCCACUGUAACAAAAUAUGUUGGUUGAAUGGUGGGAAAUGUACCACACCUAAAGGAGCUCUAAGUUCAGAGCAUCAUUUAACCGCUGUUAAGUAAACAAACCAAAUGUCUGACCAUGAGGAGACAUGUACAAUGAACGUUUCUUCUUAUGGCUCCUUUUGAAUUUUUUACAUUGCAUAACCUUGUUUUGUCUCCUGAGUCCAGCCAUCGGUGGUGGAAGUUCUCAGAUCAUUUACUUAAAGCCUCCCUCACUGAAUAAUGUGUUUUCACACAUUUCCGCCUGUCGUCCUCCUGCUUCUGGUCAGAACGAUUAUAAAGAAACGUCUGAGAGCGAGCUUCUUUUAAACAUUAAAUAUUUUAGCUAAUAAAUACUGAUCCAAUAAACAUCUUUAUGGAACGUGAAACCUACUGUAGAAUAUGAUGACGUAUACAAUUAUACAAUCAAUAAAUACCUAGAUAAUUUUACUUUUUAAAACCAGGAGCACUCACUGUUUUUUUCUAUUAACCUGCAAUACUUGAAUAAUGUUACAUCUCAUCAGUUGAGCUAUAAAGACAUUACUCAAUAAAUGUUUAGUUCCCUCCUAUUUCUAUAUGAGGUAACGUUUCUUCUGUCUGCCUCCACACAGUGGGUUCUUGUGGUGGUCACUGUGAUCCUCUUUAAGGGCGGUAAGGAAUGGAUGAAUCCAGAAUUAAAGUCAGACUGAGUCGUCUUCCCCUCGCGUUUUCUCUCCUCAUGCAUUAAUCUCCUCCAGUGAAAAGGUCCGCCACUCCUCACGUCUCCCGUCCCACAGCGAUGCCUGUAUAUCUGCCUCUGCCUUUACAAAGGCUGUCUCAGUCUCCAGAGUGCUGUGACUUAAUGUUCGGUACCAGGCUCCAGCGUGGUGCAGGCCCGUGGGACGGAGGACACCGCUGACGUGUCACUCAGUAUUUAGAGGAAGAGUUAAUGUUGUUUCUGUACUAUUGAUACAAGAUGGGAGCAGCCGACAGGGAAGACGGAUUGUAGGAUCUCUUCAUCUUAGAGACACAACGUUCUUCCAAAGCGAGCCUUGAUGCCGCCCCCCCCCCCGCAGUCCCCGUCCUCUGGGAUCACCAUGAAGCUUAGUACAAUGAGGCCAGCUGCCAUCUUUGUUUGACCGUAAGAAGAGACUGUACCUUCACUGUAGCUUCAGAACUAGAUAAAAUACGUAUAAACCUGGCUGAUUAGAAGAAGCACACCAAUGUCUGUUAUUACAGGAGAGGCAUAAACGUAUUGAUGCAACUGCAUUUGAAGAGUCUGGUCCAAACGUCCUUUCUCUGCAUUCAUGUCUUUACUCUGUCAGAUUUACACUUUACUGAUGUUUUUGUGUGGGUCUGUUAAGUCAAACACUUUGUCUCCAGGUUAAAGACAGUUUCGUCAACAACACUGUUGACAGUUAAACAUUGACACAACUCAUUCUUAAAGUGGACUGCAAAUGUUCUGUAUGCGACUCAUAUUUGUCAGCAUCUCGUAUGUCUCAUAAUCCACAAUGUGACAUAGAAAUUUUGCACAUUUCUGCUUUUUCCUCUACAUCACAUCAGAGGUUAAUUUGCCUCCACAGCCGCUCAACAUCCACUUUUCUGCAGAGCGUCGCCUCGUCCGGUUCCCCCUUUAUAGGAGCCCCGCCUCGAAAUCAGUCGAUCAAAUUCAACAUCGUGCACACCAGCGUCAGGCCAAUCA